rnacentral:lncRNA from 1 species
UACAACUUGCAAGAUCGGAUCUAAAACACACAUAUAUUGGUGACAACAUAAUAAUUUCAGAUCUGAAAUCAUGGCACUCGGGCCCUAGUGACAAGCAUUAAGCAUGGCAAAGUAGUAGAAACAUCAAAUCUCAGAACAUAGUGGAUACUAGGGAUCAAUCUCCAUCAAAACUAACUCGAUUACAUGAUAGGUCUCAUCCUACUCAUCACCGUCCAGCGAGCCUACGAAUAGAUUACUCACGAACGACGAAGAGCUUCAUGGAAUUGGAGAGAGAAGAAGGUUGAUGAUGACGAUUUCCCCUCUCCGGAGCCCAAGACGGACUCCAGAUGUGCCCUCCAGAUGAAGAACAGGUGGUGGCGGCGCCUCCGUAUCAAAAACGCGACGAAAACUUCUCUUUUUAAUUUUUCUGGGACGAAAGACAACUUAUAGAGCUGGAGUUGGGGGCGGCAGGUGCCCGUGGGCCCCACAAGCCUGCCCACCGCCACCAGGGGUGGUGGCGGAGCAGGGGCUUGUGGCCCACUGGCGCACCCCCUCAGGUGGAUUCUAGCACAGGUAUUUUUGAUAUUUUCUAAAACUGCUCCCCGUAAAUUUUCAGGACGUUCGGAGAACUUUGAUUUCUGUACAAAAAUAACACCAAGGCAAAUCUGCUGAAAACAGCGUCAAUCCAUGUUAGUUCCAUUCAAAUCAUGCAAAUUAUAGUCCAAAACAAGGGCAAAAGAGUUUGGAAAAGUAUAUACGUUGGAGACGUAUCAGGUCUCAUACCUCUCAACAAGGGCACGAGCAUGAAAUCCCAAUUUCAUCUCUUGGAACAUCUCAUAUGUUCCGUGAUGUUUAAAACGUCUUUGGCGCCUUAAUUCUAAGCCGUUCAGCAUUACGCACUGAACUAUCACGUAGUCAGCAAAGACGUGUAUGUGUGAUGUUCCCAACAUCCACAGACAACGCUCGAGGUUCAGCACACCGAGCGGUGCAUUAAGGACAUAAGCCUUCUGAGCAGCAAUGAGGACAAUCCUAAGUUUACGGACCAAGUCUGCAUAAUUGCUACUAUCAUCUUUCAACUAAAUUUUCUCUAGGAACAUAUCAAAAAUAGUAGAGCUACAACGAAAUCUACAACAUAAUUUGCAAAGACCUUUUGACUAUGUUCAUGAUAAUUGAGUUUAACUAAUAAUAUUACUAAUAACUCCCACACAAAUAGACAUCCCUCUAGUCAUUCGAGUGGCUCAGGAUCCAAAUCGACUAACUCAAGUCCGAUCAUCACCUGAGUUGAGUUUAGCUUCAAUGGUGAACAUCUCAAUGUUGAUCACAUCAACUAUAUGAUUCAUGCUCGACCUUUCGACCUCUUGUGUUCCAAGGCCAUGUCUGUACAUACUAGGCUCGUCAAUUUUAACCCGAGUGUUCCGCAUGUGCAACUGUUUUGCACCCAUUGUAUGUGAACAUUGAGUCUAUCACACCCUAUCAUCACGUGGUGUCUCGAAACGACGAAGUGCCGCAAUAGUGCACAGUCAGGAAGAACACAAUUUUAUCUUGAUAAUUUAGUGAGGGGUCAUCUUAUAAUGUUACCGUCGUUCUAAGCAAAAUAAGGUGCAUAAAGGGAUUAACAUCACAUGCAAAUCAUAAGUGACAUGAUAUGGCCAUGAUUUUGUGCUUCUUGAUCUCCAUCACCAAAGCACUGACAUGAUCUUUAACGUCACCGGCGCCACACCAUUGAUAUCCAUCAGCAUGAUCUCCAUCAUUGUGCCGCUAUCGAGGUUGUCGUUCUAUCUAUACUAUUACUACUAAAGCUACUACCUAGCAAUAUAGUAAACGCAUCUCGAAGCACAAACGUUAGUUUAAAGACAACCCCAUGGCUCCUGUCGGUUGUCGUAGCAUCGACGUGCUAGUCGAUAUUUAACUAUUACAACAUAAUCAUCUCAUACAUCUAGUAUAUCACAACAUGCCUUUGGCCAUAUCACAUCACAUGCAUACCCUGCAAAAACAAGUUAGACAUCCUCUAAUUUAUUGUUGCAUGUGUUUACGUGGCUGCUAUGGGUAUCUAGUAUGCUCGUGUCUUACUUACGCAAAGCCAUAACGGUUAUAUGCAAAGUGCUAUUUAACCUUCUCCAAGGACCGCCUCGGUCAAAUUCGAUUCAACCAAAGUUGAAGAAGCAGACACCCGCUAGUCAUCUUUAUGCAACAAAGAUGCAUGUUAAUCGAUGAAACCGGUCUCUCGUAAGCGUACGAGUAAGGUUGGUCCGGGCCGCUUCAAUCCAACAAUACUGCCGAAUCGAGAAAAGACUAAGGAGAGCAGCAAAUCGAACAUCAACGCCCACAAACUCUUUUGUGUUCUACUCGAGAUUUCAUCUACGCAUGAACCUAUCUCAUGAUGCCACUUUUGGGGAACGUUGCAUGGGAAACAAAAAAUUGCCUACGCACACGCAAUACCUAUCCAUGGUGAAGAUCAUCUACGAGAGGGGAGAGUGCAUAUACAUACUCUUGUAGAUCGCUAAGCGGAAGCAUAUAUAACGCGGUUGAUGUAGUGGAACAUCUUCGCGAUCCAAAUCGCAGCCCGUCCCGCGAUCUCAUCACGAUUCAUCCCGCGAUCCCAUCACUAUCCAUCCCGAUCUAGUGCCGAACGGACGGCACCUCCGCGGUCAGCACACGUACAGCUCGAUGACGAUCUCCGCCUUCUUGAUCGAGCAAAGAGGGGCGAAGAAGUAGAUGACUUCUCCAACAUGGCGGCAUGGUGGUGGUGGUGGUGGAGCUAUUCCAACAAGGCUUCGCCUAAGCACCGUUGAAACUAGACUAGAGGAGAAACAAAUCUAGAAAGAGAGGGCAGCACGCGGCAGUUUUUCUGUGUCACAAAAACCCUCAAUAU